rnacentral:rRNA from 1 species
AAACUUAAAGGAAGUUGACGGGGCCCGCACAAGCGGUGGAGCAUGUGGUUUAAUUCGAAGCAACGCGAAGAACCUCACCAGGUCUUGACAUCCCCUGACAACCCGAGAGAUCGGGCGUUCCCCUUCGGGGGACAGGGUGACAGGUGGUGCAUGGUUGUCGUCAGCUCGUGUCGUGAGAUGUUGGGUUAAGUCCCGCAACGAGCGCAACCCUCGACCUUAGUUGCCAGCAUUCAGUUGGGCACUCUAAGGUGACUGCCGGCUAAAAGUCGGAGGAAGUGGGGAUGACGUCAAAUCAUCAUGCCCCUUAUGACCUGGGCUACACACGUGCUACAAUGGGCGGUACAAAGGGUCGCGAACCCGCGAGGGGGAGCCAAUCCCAAAAAGCCGCUCUCAGUUCGGAUUGCAGGCUGCAACUCGCCUGCAUGAAGCCGGAAUCGCUAGUAAUCGCGGAUCAGCAUGCCGCGGUCGAAUACGUUCCCGGGCCUU